GUGGCCAGAUUACCCGAAACUCGAUCUCCGAACCCAAAAAACUCGAGCCCGAAAAAUCCGAUCGGAUUUCAAAUCACGGUACUGAAUAAAUCGAAUAGCAGACCACGGUACCCGAAUUAUUCGAAUAAUCUGAAAAUCAACCCAGCCCACGAAGCCAUUUUAUCCCUGUCCGAGUAACCCUACCCCAGUCCAAAUAAUCCUAGCAUGCUGCCCCGUCCCCAGCCCCCCACGCAGAACCUCGAGAAGCUGUGGCGGCGCAUCUCGUCUCGAACUAGGCGACUCGACGGACGCUGCUAGCCCGCCACCGGCCACCGUGGCACCGCCCACCAGCAGCAUGAGCGCAACUACGCGACGGCCUCCUCGAGCUGCAGGCCAGCAACGCGCCAGCACCUCAUCUUCUCCAGCGCGCCAGCAGCGGGGCGUCCAGGCGCCGAGGAUGGGCGGGGCGUCGACGCCGGAGGCGGCGCGGGGCUUCCAGGCUUCCAGCGCUGGGUGAUGGCGGAGGAUGUGCGGGGCAUCGGCGCUGGGCGUCCGAGCGCCGAGGACCGUCGCCGCCACCGCUAGCUAGGUUGCAGGCAGCAGAUCGAGAGAGCGGAAUGCAUGCAUGUACGGAGUCAAUGGAAGAAGAGACUCGCUCAACAAUAACCGUCUAUGGACUUAGCCUCAGCAGCAGCUAGCUCAGAACAUCGAUCGCUCAGCUGCACGUACGUACACCACAGCUUCCAGAUCGAAGACGAAGAAGCGUCGUUUAGCCUGCUAGCUAGCUGCUGCUGCCGCCGCCAUUGACACCCUCCUCUCAUUCAUCGCACUAGCUAGCUUUGACCUAGUCAGCUACUAGCUGUUUCCUUGCUUUCCAAUAACCUUUUCUGUUAAAGUAAUUUCAAUUCCAUCCUUUGUUAUGUGUAUAAUUAAUUGUUAUACUAACCUGUAAGGAUACGAUCGAACGGUCA